rnacentral:lncRNA from 1 species
AAACAUUGCAUUGGAGCCAAAAAUUCAGUGGGAAAAAAUUAUGUUGUACCACCUAUAUCAUAGGAUUUGCCUGAUAUUUACUUGGACAGCCACUUAAAUCUUGGCAUUUAUUUCUGAAUUUUCAACAUUCUGUUGAUGCCUGUUUGGUUAUACUGCUCUGUGUUUUGUUCCCAAUGUUACUCAAAGCAUUCUUAUAAAGGUUAACACCCAA